rnacentral:rRNA from 1 species
AGUGGCGGACGGGUGAGUAACGCGUGGGUAACCUGCCUUACAGAGGGGGAUAACGAUUGGAAACGAUCGCUAAUACCGCAUAAGCCCACGGGAUCGCAUGAUCCUGCGGGAAAAGAUUUAUCGCUGUAAGAUGGACCCGCGUCUGAUUAGCCAGUUGGUGGGGUAACGGCCUACCAAAGCAACGAUCAGUAGCCGACCUGAGAGGGUGAUCGGCCACAUUGGGACUGAGACACGGCCCAAACUCCUACGGGAGGCAGCAGUGGGGAAUAUUGCGCAAUGGGGGAAACCCUGACGCAGCAACGCCGCGUGAGUGAAGAAGUAUUUCGGUAUGUAAAGCUCUAUCAUCGGGGACGAGACUGACGGUACCCGAAUAAGAAGUCCCGGCUAACUACGUGCCAGCAGCCGCGGUAAUACGUAGGGGACAAGCGUUAUCCGGAUUUACUGGGUGUAAAGGGUGCGUAGGCGGCAAAGCAAGUCAGAAGUGAGAGCCCGCGGCUCAACUGCGGGACUGCUUUUGAAACUGUUUAGCUAGAGUACUGGAGGGGCAAGCGGAAUUCCUGGUGUAGCGGUGAAAUGCGUAGAUAUCAGGAAGAACACCGGAGGCGAAGGCGGCUUACUGGGCCGUAACUGACGCUGAGGCGCGAAAGCGUGGGGAGCGAACAGGAUUAGAUACCCUGGUAGUCCACGCGGUAAACGAUGAAUGCUAGGUGUAGGGGGUAUCGACCCCUCCUGCGCCGGAGUCAACACAAUAAGCAUUCCGCCUGGGGAGUACGGCCGCAAGGUUGAAACUCAAAGGAAUUGACGGGGGCCCGCACAAGCAGCGGAGCAUGUGGUUUAAUUCGACGCAACGCGAAGAACCUUACCAGGUCUUGACAUUGAUGCAAACUUGUAGAGAUACAAGGUGACUUCGGUCAGCUGAAAACAGGUGGUGCAUGGUUGUCGUCAGCUCGUGUCGUGAGAUGUUGGGUUAAGUCCCGCAACGAGCGCAACCCUUAUUGUCAGUUACUAACGGGUAGUGCUGAGGACUCUGACGAGACCGCCGGGGACAACUCGGAGGAAGGUGGGGACGACGUCAAAUCAUCAUGCCCCUUAUGACCUGGGCUACACACGUGCUACAAUGGUGACUACAAAGAGCAGCGAAGUCGCAAGGCCAAGCGAAUCUCAUAAAAGUCAUCUCAGUUCGGACUGUGGGCUGCAACCCGCCCACACGAAGUUGGAGUUGCUAGUAAUCGCGAAUCAGCAUGUCGCGGUGAAUACGUUCCCGGGCCUUGCACACACCGCCCGUCA